CCUACGGGUGGCAGCAGUGAGGAAUAUUGGUCAAUGGACGAGAGUCUGAACCAGCCAAGUAGCGUGAAGGAUGACUGCCCUAUGGGUUGUAAACUUCUUUUAUAUGGGAAUAAAAUGUUCCACGUGUGGGCUUUUGUAUGUACCAUAUGAAUAAGGAUCGGCUAACUCCGUGCCAGCAGCCGCGGUAAUACGGAGGAUCCGAGCGUUAUUCGGAUUUAUUGGGUUUAAAGGGAGCGUAGGUGGAUUGUUAAGUCAGUUGUGAAAGUUUGCGGCUCAACCGUAAAAUUGCAGUUGAAACUGGCAGUCUUGAGUACAGUAGAGGUGGGCGGAAUUCGUGGUGUAGCGGUGAAAUGCUUAGAUAUCACGAAGAACUCCGAUUGCGAAGGCAGCUCACUGGACUGCAACUGAUACUGAGGCUCGAAAGUGUGGGUAUCAAACAGGAUUAGAUACCCCAGUAGUC
rnacentral:rRNA from 1 species